GUCCUAGCCGUAAACGUUGGGUGCUAGGUGUGGGCGGAUAUCAACCCCGUCCGUGCCGAAGCUAACGCAUUAAGCACCCGCCUGGGGAGUACGGCCGCAAGGCUAAAACUCAAAGGAAUUGACGGGCCCCGCACAAGCGGCGGAGCAUGUUGCUUAAUUCGAUGCGACGCGAAGAACCUUACCUGGGCUUGACAUGCAGGGUGAAACCCGUGAAAGCGGGCGCUCUUCGGAGCCUGCACAGGUGGUGCAUGGCUGUCGU
rnacentral:rRNA from 1 species